rnacentral:rRNA from 1 species
UACGGGGGGGGGCAAGCGUUGUUCGGAAUUACUGGGCGUAAAGGGCCAGUAGGCGGCCAACUAAGUCCGACGUGAAAUCCCCAGGCUUAACCUGGGAACUGCGUCGGAUACUGGAUGGCUUGAAUUCGGGAGAGGGAUGCAGAAUUCCAGGUGUAGCGGUGAAAUGCGUAGAUAUCUGGAGGAAUACCGGUGGCGAAGGCGGCAUCCUGGACCGACAUUGACGCUGAGGAGCGAAAGCUAGGGGAGCAAACGGGG